GAUGAACGCUGGCGGCGCGCCUAACACAUGCAAGUCGAACGGCACCCCUCCUCGGAGGGAAGCGAGUGGCGAACGGCUGAGUAACACGUGGAGAACCUGCCCCCUCCCCCGGGAUAGCCGCCCGAAAGGACGGGUAAUACCGGAUACCCCGGGGUGCCGCAUGGCACCCCGGCUAAAGCCCCGACGGGAGGGGAUGGCUCCGCGGCCCAUCAGGUAGACGGCGGGGUGACGGCCCACCGUGCCGACAACGGGUAGCCGGGUUGAGAGACCGACCGGCCAGAUUGGGACUGAGACACGGCCCAGACUACUACGGGAGGCAGCAGUGGGGAAUCUUGCGCAAUGGGGGGAACCCUGACGCAGCGACGCCGCGUGAGGGACGGAGGCCUUCGGGUCGUAAACCGCUUUCAGCAGGGAAGAGUCAAGACUGUACCUGCAGAAGAAGCCCCGGCUAACUACGU
rnacentral:rRNA from 1 species